rnacentral:misc_RNA from 1 species
CGCACAUUGCGCCUGUUAGUAUUCUGAUAGGCAUGCCUGUUCGAGCGUCAUUUCAACCCUCAGGCCCAGCCUGGCGUUGGGGCUCCGCGCUUGCGGACCCUGAAAUAUAGUGGCAGGCUCGCUAUAAGCUUCAGCGCAGUAGAUUUUCUUCGCUGGGAGUCUUUAGCGGGUGCUUGCCGUUAAACCCCCACUAUUUAACUAUGAUUGACCUCGGAUCAGGUAGGAAUACCCGCUGAACUUAA